UCCCCAGUAGCUCAGUUGGCCAGAGCAUCUGACUGUUAAUCAGAGGGUCGUUGGUUCGAGUCCAACCUGGGGAGCCA
rnacentral:tRNA from 1 species